rnacentral:pre_miRNA from 1 species
AUAAAAAUCACCUGGAGAUCUUGUUAAAAUGCAGAAUCUAAUGGGGGUGGGAUGCUGAGAUUCUACAUUUCUAAAAAGCUACCAGGUGAUACUGAC